rnacentral:rRNA from 1 species
AUUGAACGCUGGCGGCAGGCCUAACACAUGCAAGUCGAGCGGAUGAAGGGAGCUUUCUCCUGGAUUCAGCGGCGGACGGGUGAGUAAUGCCUAGGAAUCUGCCUGGUAGUGGGGGAUAACGUCCGGAAACGGGCGCUAAUACCGCAUACGUCCUGAGGGAGAAAGUGGGGGAUCUUCGGACCUCACGCUAUCAGAUGAGCCUAGGUCGGAUUAGCUAGUUGGUGGGGUAAAGGCCUACCAAGGCGACGAUCCGUAACUGGUCUGAGAGGAUGAUCAGUCACACUGGAACUGAGACACGGUCCAGAAUCCUACGGGAGGCAGCAGUGGGGAAUAUUGGACAAUGGGCGAAAGCCUGAUCCAGCCAUGCCGCGUGUGUGAAGAAGGUCUUCGGAUUGUAAAGAACUUUAAGUUGGGAGGAAGGGCAGUAAGUUAAUACCUUGCUGUUUUGACGUUACCAACAGAAUAAGCACCGGCUAACUUCGUG